rnacentral:tRNA from 1 species
UAAUAGGUUGGCAGAAUAGUGCCAAUGGUUUAA